AUUGAACGCUGGCGGCAGGCCUAACACAUGCAAGUCGAACGAGUGGCGGACGGGUGAGUAAUGUAUGGGGAACUGCCCGAUGGAGGGGGAUAACUACUGGAAACGGUGGCUAAUACCGCAUACUAUCGGAUGUGCCCAGAUGGGAUUAGCUAGUAGGUGGGGUAACGGCUCACCUAGGCGACGAUCCCUAGCUGGUCUGAGAGGAUGACCAGCCACACGGGAACUGAGACACGGUCCAGACUCCUACGGGAGGCAGCAGUGGGGAAUAUUGCACAAUGGGCGCAAGCCUGAUGCAGCCAUGCCGCGUGUAUGAAGAAGGCCUUAGGGUUGUAAAGUACUUUCAGCGGGGAGGCGUUACUCGCAGAAGAAGCACCGGCUAACUCCGUGCCAGCAGCCGCGGUAAUAC
rnacentral:rRNA from 1 species